AAGUGAAGAGGGGAAAACAAAUGGAGGAGGGGGAAGAAGGAGGACGGCUAGGAGGGGGAGCAUUGUGGCUGGGAUCUGUAAGGGGGCACCGGUGUCGUGGUGUGGGAGGUGUGAAACUCGACAAGCAGCAGAAGAGGUAUGUAGAGUGUUAGAUUCGAGAGUAAGAUAAGGGAUAUGGUUGAUGGGAAGGAAGGGUAGAUGAUGAAUGAAAGAAGUAUUGGAGUAGAUCCGAUCUUGAUGAAUACGUUCCUAGAUGAUAAUGUAGGGAAAUGGUAAGGUCCCCAAACACCUUGAGUCAUCUGAUCCAUGGAUUUCACUAUCGAUGGUUUACUGUUGAGGAUUGGGUUGAGUGAAGUUAUUAAUAUUAUAUUUUUUUUAUUUUGUUGCUUCUUAUUCACUGUUGAUUAUUGGGUUAUUUGGGUUUAAUAUUAUAUUUUCCUUAUUUUGUUGCUUCCGAUUUACUGUUGAUGAUUGAGUUUAUUUGGGUUUAAUAUUAUAUUUUCCUUAUUUUGUUGCUUCCGAUUCACUGUUGAUGAUUGAGUUUAGUUGGGUUUAGUGUCAUAUUUUUCUCUAUUUUGUUGCUGUCGAUUUCUGUUGAUGACUGAGUUUAGUUGGGUUUCAUGUGAUAUUGCUACUUAAGAUGAUGCAUAUUUGUAGCAUAUAGGAUACUUAUCAUGUGAGUGGGUUGUAGUAUUUAUGUUGCUGUUUUAAUGACGAAAAUGCUAUCGGGUGCAUGUUUGAAUUGCAUAUAAGUUAAUUAUCACGUGGGCUGGUUCGAUUAAUUAUUUCUGUUUUAAAUAAUGAACAUGUUAUCGGGGUGCACAUGUGUUAGCAAUUAAGAUAGUUAUCUUGUGGGUGGUUUCGAAUACUUGUUGUUGUUUUAAAAUGAUAAUAGGAUUAGAGGGGAAAUAUACAUGAAUGAACAAGAGAAUAAGAAUAGCACUGUAUGUAUGAAUGGGAUUCGUCAAUGAAUGAAAGCAUGAAUGAGAUAUGACAGGGGUGUUAUGACGCCUAACGAAUAACGAAUGAUGAAUGACGAGCAGUGCUGACCCAUUAGAGGCAUGAAUGAUGAUUGAUUGGUAUCAUCAGAUUGAAUGUUAUAUAUACAUGUAUUAUGUUAAUUGUUAUUGUUAUUAAUUGUUGGAACCUAUACUUUACAUGCUGAGUGAUGUAGUCACUCACGGAUACAUGACCUGUGCAGGAAAUGGAGGCAACCUUACCUAACUGGAGGGGUAGGAGACAAAGGACUCGUCGGGGUAUCGGCGUAGGGGGUGACGCGAACUAGUCGUAUCAUUGAUUAUUUUUUUGUUGUAAUAAGGAUUGUGUUAGGUCCCCGAACACAAAGUAGUUGUAGUACUUCAUAAUGUGAACUUUCAUUCGAGAGGAAUCUAUGUUAAUCGUUUGAUGAGAAUUAAAACCCAGUGUGCAGAGCAGGGUUUUACAAGUGGUAUCAGAGCCUAGGUUAAAAUAUAUAUAUAUAUAUGUCAUAUAUCAUAAUGAAGAUUAACGGUUAUGGUAUCUGAUUGUGGUAUGUAUUUUUGAAUCGAUGCAGAUGGUACGAGCUCGAAGUAAUGUUGCAGCACGAGCACCAGAGGUGGUUAGGCCAGUUACCGUAAUGGAUUUUAUGAAAGUGGCGCCACCAAUAUUCCUAGGGGGUGACAACUUGAAGGAUGCGGAAAACUGGUUGGAGGCAGUCCAAACCAGUUUUAGACUGAUCGUGUGUCCCGCAGAACGCAAGGUAGAUUUCGGCACGUAUCUACUGCGAGAGGAUGCUCAUGACUGGUGGGUUAGCACUCGGGACGUUCGUUUUCGAGGAAGUACUGAAGUAUCGUGGGAAGAAUUUACAGAAGAGUUCAGGAAGAAGUAUUUUCCGUUACACAAAUGGGAAAAAAUGAAAGAUGAGUUCAGGGACUUGGUGCAAGGGGCAUUGACGGUAGAUGAAUAUGCGGGUAAAUUCAUUCGGUUGGAGAAGUACUUUCCCUAACUCUGUGGGGAGGAGGAGAAUCGGGUGCGGAAAUUCAUCCAAGGGUUGGAGUUCCAACUGGGAAUGAGGGUACUCGCAAGCAAGCCCACCACACUAGAUGUCGCCAUUGAUGAUGCACACCAAUUAUAUGAGGCUUAUGCGAGAGGCCAGAACAAGAGAAAGGUAACUGAGAUAGGAAAUUAUAAGAGGGCUAGAAUUGAGGCACCACCUAGUUCGAGUGGUGGCCGCAGCGGUUGGAAAUGCGAAACCUGCCCCAAUUACCAUCCGGGGGAGGCAUGUUGCAGAGUGACUGGAGGAUGCUUUUCGUGUGGGAAGACGGGACACCGGGUGCGGGACUGUCCACACAAGCAUGCAGAGGUACAGCGGAAACAGGCAACCGCCAAGGCUUUCGCACUGGCCGGAGAAGAGGCAGAAAAGCAGUACGACGUCGUAACUGGUAUGUAUGAAUAGUUGAUUAUUUAUUUCAAGUCAGUAGUUAAUUAUCCUAUUAAAAAAAAACAUAAAUCAUGACUGGUUGACGGUGUGUCAAUAUGGAAUAGGUCGAAUAGUGAUUGAUCGUCAUGUGGGCCGAGUGUUGUUUGACACCGGCUCCACCCAUUCAUUCAUAGCUGAGGACCUGGUCAGGCAAUUAGAACGACAAUCGACCCGGCUACGGGUACCAUUGAAGGUGCGAGCACCAAUGGGUGGAUACGCCGUAUAAACAAAUUAUUUCCCGAUGACCGAGGUAGUAAUGGGGGAACAGCAACUGCAAGCAGAUUUGAUACCAUUACAAAUGAAGGAGUUUGACGUAAUAUUGGGAAUGGAUUGGAUGACCAAAUACGGCACGGCAGUAACAUGUAAAGAAAUGCGGGUGACCCUCACCGGUCCUGGUCAGCAAAAGAUUGAGAUCAGAGGGGUGAGAGACAUAGUACCCGACAGCAUGAUGGCAGCAAUGCAGACAGAAUCGAGUCGCAUGAGAGAGGGCGAGUGGUGGGUGUGUUGUUACGCCCUCACGGUUGAUAAUGGACCCCAAGACAUAGAGAAGAUUGAUAUAGUCCGAUACUUUGCGGAAGUGUUUCCCGAAGGAUUUGGUUUACCCCCGAUCCUAAAAACAGAGUUCGGAAUCGAUCUGAUACCAGGAACGGGCCCUUUAUCCAAAGCGCCGUAUCGUAUGGCCCCUGCGAAGUUGACAGUGUUAAAAGAGCAGUUGGAGGAGUUAUAAUUAGAAAAGGGUUUCAUCAGACCUAGUGUGUCACCAUGGGGAACACCAGUACUGUUUGUCAAAAAAAAGGAUGGUUCCUUGCGAUUGUGCAUUGACUACAAGAUGUUGAAUAAGAAAACGAUUAAGAACAAGUACCCGCUACCCAGGAUAGAUGAGUUAUUCGAUCAAAUGCAAGGGGCAGCCGUGUUCUCAAAGAUUGAUUUGAGGUCAGGAUACCACCAACUGAGAGUCCGAGAAACGGAUAUAUCCAAGACCGCAUUUCCAAGUCGUUAUGGAUACUAUGAAUUCGUAGUGAUGCCGUUCGGACUCACCAAUGCACCAGCAACAUUUAUGAAUAUGAUGAAUUCAGUGUUUAGUAAGUUCCUGGAUAAGUUCGUGAUCGUAUUCGUGGAUGACAUUUUGGUGUACUCCAAGGAUAAAGCAACUCAUCGGGAACAUCUGAGAUUGGUACUCGAAACGCUUAAAGAGCAUCAAUUAUUCGCGAAGCUCUCCAAAUAUGAAUUUUGGUCGAACACCGUCACCUUUUUAGGGCAUGUGAUUAGCAAGGAGGGAAUCACAGUGGAUCCAGAAAAGGUGAAAGCAGUGGCUGAAUGGAGACAACCCAAGAAUGUGACAGAGGUCAGAAGUUUCUUGGGACUGGCGGGGUACUAUCGGAAAUUCAUCCAGAACUUCUCCAAAAUAGCGUUGCCAUUGAUCAGUCUCACGAGGAAGGGAGUAAAGUAUGAAUAGACAGAGGAAUGUGAAAACCGGUUUAAGGAAUUGAAAGGAAGAUUGACGACAACACCCAUAUUAGCGCUUCCCACACCGGAGAGUCGGUUUAUAAUUUAUUGCGACGCAUCGGGACAGGGUUUGGGAGGAGUACUAAUGCAAAAUGAGCAUGUCAUUGCCUAUGCCUCCAGACAAUUGAAGGUUCACGAAAGGAACUACCCAACACCUGAUUUAGAACUAGCAGCAGUGGUGUUUGCCCUAAAAAUCUGGCGACACUACCUGUAUGGAGUACCCUUCAAGGUAUACACCGAUCAUCGAAGUUUGAAAUACGUGUUUACCCAGAAAGAUCUCAACAUGCGACAGAGGCGGUGGAUGGAGUUUUUGAAAGAUUACGACGUUGAGAUCGAAUAUCACCCAGGCAAGGCCAACACGGUGGCAGAUGCAUUGAGUCGGAAUUUGGAGGGUAUGACGGCACAUAUGAUGGUGUGUGAGUGGAAAUUGGUGGAACAAUUUAAUGAGUGGAGACCCUUUGUAUCUGAAGCCGAAGGAGGUGUAUUAUUCUCACUGAGUAUAGAAUCAGACAUCAUUGAAGAAGUCUUGCAGGCCCAACGAGGGGACCCUGGGUAUGCGAAACAUAGAGAGGAAGGUGAGAAAGGAAGGACGGGAUGGGACGUUACAGAAACAGGUGGGUUGCGGUUUCAACAACGAUUAUGGGUACCAUUGGAGUUGGGAGUGAGUGAUAAACUUAUGGAGAUGGCGCAUAGGUCCACUUACAGCAUCCAUCCAGGGAGUACCAAAAUGUGGAAAACAUUACAUCGAAAUUUCUGGUCGCGGGGAAUGAGAAAGGACAUUGCGAGUUUCGUCAGUAGAUGUCUAGUAUGUCAACAAAUGAAAAUAGAAUACCAGCGGCCUGGCGAACUGAUGCAAUGGAUCGAAAUACCGUUAUGGAAGUGGGAGCAUAUCACCAUGGAUUUUGUAAUGGGUCUACCACCAACCAGAAACAGACACGAUGCGAUAUGGGUGGUGGUGGACCGGUUAACCAAAUCUGCGCAUUUCAUACCUUAUCGAAUCAAAUACACCGUUGUAGAAAUGGCAAGGAUUUACGUAAAGGAGAUCGUGAGAUUACACGACAUACCUACUUCCAUCAUAUCGGAUCGGGAUCCGAGAUUUCAAUCGGGUUUUUGGAAGAGUUUACAGGAAGUCAUGGACACAAAGUUGAAAUUUAGUACAUCCUUCCACCCACAAAUAGACGGACAGUCGGAGCGGACUAUUCAAACAUUGGAGGAUAUGCUUAGGGCUUGCGCAUUGGAGUUCCGAGGAAGUUGGGAGGACCAACUCUCACUAAUUGAGUUUGCUUACAACAAUAGUUAUCAUGCUAGCAUUCAGAUGCCCCCUUUUGAGGCGUUGUAUGGCCGGCCGUGCCGAUCCCCGUUAUGUUGGUCCGAGGUGGGGGAUCGCCAAAUGUUGGGGCCAGAAAUGCUACAAAGGUCAUCGGAGAAUAUUGACCAGAUACGGAAGAGACUGUUGGCAGCACAGAGUCGACAGAAGAGUUAUGCCGACAAGAGAAGGAGAGAAUUAAAAUUUGAGGUGGGAGACCACGUGUUUCUAAAAGUGAUUGCAACCAAAGGAGCAUCUCGAUUCGGGCUACGGGGGAAACUAAAACCCAGAUACAUCGGCCCAUUCGAGAUAUUGGACUGUAUCGGAAAUGCAGCUUACAAAGUGGCGUUACCACCACAACUGAGUCGAAUGCACAAUGUUUUUCACGUAUCAAUGCUGCGACAGUAUAUUGCAGAACCAAGUCAUAUAAUACGACAUGAAGUUUUUGAAGGUAUCGAUAACUUAUGCAUAGAACCACAACCAACACGGAUCAUAGGUAGGAAGGAACAUCGGAUCAGAAAUAAAACUUGUAGAAGUGUCAAGGUGCAGUGGGGAGAUUACCCGAGCGAGGAGGCCACAUGGGAGUCAGAAGACAAGAUGAUGGCCGCAUUUCCGGAACUCUUUGUAAGUAAAUGUUUAUUAAUAAGUAUGAUGGUGAUCGGAAGUAGUAGUUUAAUUUUGGGAACCAAAAUCCUAAUUAGAGGGGAAGAUUGUAAUAACCGGUUAGUUAUGUAACCGAUUAUUAAUUGGAAAUAACCCAAUUAAGGAUAAAUGAUUAAGAUUAUUAAAAUAUAAAUUAAAAGGAUAGAAGGGAAGAAAAGAAAACAGACAAGUGAAACAGAAAUUGAAGAGGGGAAAACGGAAGGAGGAGGGGGAAGAAGGAGGACGGCUAGGAGGGGGAGCAUCGUGGCUGGGAUCUGUAAGGGGGCACCGGUGUCGUGGUGUGAGAGGUGUGAAACUCGACAAGUAGCGGAAGAGGUAUGUAGAGUGUUAGAUUCGAGAGUAAGAUAAGGGAUAUGGUUGAUGGGAAGGAAGGGUAGAUGAUGAAUGAAAGAAGUAUCGGAGUAGAUCCGAUCUUGAUGAAUACGUUCCUAGAUGAUAAUGUAGGGAAAUGGUAAGGUCCCCAAACACCUUGAGUCAUCCGAUCCAUGGAUUUCACUAUCGAUGGUUUACUGUUAAGGAUUGGGUUGAGUGAGGUUAAUAUUAUAUUUUCUUUAUUUUGUUGCUUCUGAUUCACUGUUGAUUAUUGGGUUAUUUGGGUUUAAUAUUAUAUUUUUUUUAUUUUGUUGCUUCUUAUUCACUGUUGAUUAUUGGGUUAUUUGGGUUUAAUAUUAUAUUUUCCUUAUUUUGUUGCUUCCGAUUCACUGUUGAUGAUUGAGUUUAGUUGGGUUUAGUGUCAUAUUUCUCUCUAUUUUGUUGCUGUCAAUUUCUGUUGAUGAUUGAGUUUAGUUGGUUUUCAUGUGAUAUUGCUAUCUUUAUUUUGUUGCAGUCUAUAUGUAUUGCUGUCCAUAUUUUUGAAACGUUGGGUCUAUUAUUCUACUGUUGGCUUUAGGUGUCGGAAUGCAUGAUUGAUUUGCAUAUCAACUAUCCAUGUUUAAUAUUAUAUUGUUGUUUUAGUUUGCUGCUGUCGAUUUUAUUGCAGUUUAUUUAUCUCUGUUUUUAGAUGAUGCAUAUUUGUAGCAUAUAGGAUACUUAUCAUGUGAGUGGAUUGUAGUAUUUAUGUUGUUGUUUUAAUGACGAAAAUGCUAUCGGGUGCAUGUUUGAAUUGCAUAUAAGUUAAUUAUCACGUGGGCUGGUUCGAUUAAUUAUUUCUGUUUUAAAUAAUGAACAUGUUAUCGAGGUGCACAUGUGUUAGCAAUUAAGAUAGUUAUCUUGUGGGUGGUUUCGAAUACUUGUUGUUUUAAAAUGAUAAUAGGAUUAGAGGGGAAAUAUACAUGAAUGAACAAGAGAAUAAGAAUAGCAUUAUAUGUAUGAAUGGGAUUCGUCAAUGAAUGAAAGCAUGAAUGAGAUAUGACAGGGGUGUUAUGACGCCUAACGUAUGACGAAUGACGAGUGCUGACCCAUUAGGGGCAUGAAUGAUGAUUGAUUGGUAUCAUCAGAUUAAAUGUUAUAUAUACAUGUAUUAUGUUAAUUGCUAUUGUUAUUAAUUGUUGGAACCUAUACUUUACAUGCUGAGUGAUGUGGUCACUCACGGAUACAUGACCUGUGUAGGGAAUGGAGGCAACCUUGCCUAACUGGAGGGGUAGGAGACAAAGGACUCGUCGAGGUGUCGGCGUAGGGGGUGACGCGAAGUAGUCGUGUCAUUGAUUAUUUUUCUGUUGUAAUAAGGAUUGUGUAAGGUCCCCGAACACAAAGUAGUUGUAGUAUUUCAUAAUGUGAACUUUCAUUCGAGAGGAAUCUAUGUUAAUCGUUUGAUGAGAAUUAAAACCCAGUGUGCAGAGCAGGGUUUUACUAGGAGUUUGAUAUCAUUGAUCGCUCUGACCUGCAUUAAUACUUCUAUCUUGCAACGAUCCACGAUCUGAAGGUUGUGGAGUUGUAUUUGAUUGGGAUAAAACUGUUUUCUUCAGGUCUUCAAACAUAUCAAACAUUUCAUCAUAUUUCCUUUUUAAAACUCGAUUAUCAUAUAAAACAUUUAAGAUUCAUUUAUAUUUAUGUAUUACUUUAAAAUUUUAUUGACUUUCAUACACAUACCUCUAUUAACUUCUCAAUUUGAUCGUUCAUUUUUUCUUUUCCUUUUUCUUUCUCAAUAGAUCUUGCAUUUAUUUCAAUUGAAAAUCUGGUAGAAACAGUGCUCAACUCAGCAAAUGAUCCUCCACCAAGUCCAAUGUGCCUCCCUUUUUUGCUUUGAAUAAAUUUUGAAAUGCAUUUUUGUUGAAUCAC
rnacentral:lncRNA from 1 species